AUACGUAUGUCGCAAGCGUUAUCCGGAUUUAUUGGGCGUAAAGCGCGUCUAGGCGGUUUAGUAAGUCUGAUGUGAAAAUACGGGGCUCAACCCCGACUUGCGUUGGAAACUGCUAAACUAGAGUCCUGGAGAUGUAGGCGGAAAUUCAAGGGAAAGGGUGGAAUUCGUCGAUAUUUGUAGGAAUGCCGAAGGGGAAGCCAGCCUACUGGACAGAUACCUACGCUAAAGCGCGAAAGCGUGGGUAGCAAACAGGAUUAGAUACCCUGGUAGUCCACGCCGUAAACGAUGAUUACUAGGUGUUGGGGGUCGAACCUCAGCGCCCAAGCUAACGCGAUAAGUAAUCCGCCUGGGGAGUACGUACGCAAGUAUGAAACUCAAAUGAAUUGACGGGG
rnacentral:rRNA from 1 species